rnacentral:rRNA from 1 species
UACGUGUGAGGCAAGCGUUAUUCGUCUUUAAUGGGUCUAAAGGGUACGUAGGCGGUUUAUGUAAUCAUAUUAUUAAUCCCAUGUGUGUGGAUUUGAUAUUUAUAUACUAGAGUUUGAAGGGAGUAACAGACACAACAAGAGUAGUGUAGUAAUACUAGUAUACUUGAGGGGUCUCAUAGCGGCGAAGGCGUGUUACUAUGUAAGACUGACGCUGAGGCACGAAAGCGUGGGGAGCAAACAGG